UACGGGGGGAGCAAGCGUUGUUCGGAUUUACUGGGCGUAAAGGGCGCGUAGGCGGCCAGCACAAGUCAGUUGUGAAAUCUCCGAGCUUAACUCGGAAAGGUCAACUGAUACUGUGCGGCUAGAGUGCAGAAGGGGCAACUGGAAUUCUUGGUGUAGCGGUGAAAUGCGUAGAGAUGUGGAGGAAUACCGAUGGCGAAGGCAGCCUCCUGGGCCAACACUGACGCUCAUGCACGAAAGCGUGGGGAGCAAACAGG
rnacentral:rRNA from 1 species